UCCACCACGAGGUGACCCACCACAAAGGGAAGAGAUUGCUUCUUGGCGGAAAAAGGAAAAUUUUUUAAUCCUUCUCGCCAAAUACAUUCCUUAACCAAUCUCUCUUCCCUCCUAAAGGUAACUGCACCAGGGAAAUAUAUUCUUAUUGGGAGUUUGCUGAUUCUAAUAGAGCUUUCACAUAUUUUUCCCAAAGGUAUUGUACGCCUUCCCGGC